CUCAAUUGGAGGGUUCUUCUGCCAGUUUUGUCUGGAGUUAUGUGAUUGCAAUCAGCCUGUGACUUGACUUGGUCUGGAUGAUUUAAUAGGAUGCCACUCAUCUGUCUAGUAGUCAGUGCUGGCUUUUGGCUGGGUCUUUUUCUUCAUGUGGCUUCUCUUUCUCAAGAAUGCAAGGUAAAGGUUCUUCAUAUAGCAACCUGGUCAGCAAGAGAAAGAGAAAGAACAAAUCAACAAGGCCUCUUGUAACUGGGGCUCAGAACUCCCAGAUCAUUUCUGCCACAUUCUGUUGACUAGUGCAAGUGUGGAGGCCAGGCUAGAUGGAAGAGAAUGGAAAAAUAGACUCCACCUUUUGAUGGAAAGGGAGGCAAAAUCAAAAGGUAAGAGAGUAUGUGCAUGGGAAAGAGAGAAGUUGUGGCCAUUUCCUUGCCAUCUACCACAAACAGGAUGUCAAAGAAUUGGGCAUAUACUAGGUACAAGAGGCUAAACCAUAGAUUCUUAGAAUUUCUUACUUAAAAGAGACGUUAGAGAUCAUCUAUGCCAGGGACUUUUAAAGUGUGUCUCUUGGACCAGCAGCAUCAGUUUCACUGAGUAAUAUGGCAGUGGUACGAAUUCCAGACCUCCUGAAUCAGAAACCCUGAGAAUGGAUAUUGGAAUCUAUGUUUUAACAAUUCCUACAAGUGAUGCAUACAAAAGUUUGAGAACCACUAAUAGAAAAUCAUUUUUAAUACUCACUGCACAUCAAAAUCAUCUAAAAAGCAUUUUAAAAAUAUAAAUUUCAGGCUGGGGUUGUGGCUCAUUGGUAGAGUACUUGCCUAGCAUGUGUGAGGCACUGGUUUCAAUCUCCAGCACCACAUUAAAAAAAAAAAACAAAAAACUAAAUCAACAAAAUAAAGGGAUUGUGUCCAUCUACAACUAAAAAUAAUUUUUUAAAAUGAGUAUCUCAGACCCUAAUCAAGAGAUUUUCAUUAAAUUGACCCAGGAGGGGGCCCAGGC
rnacentral:lncRNA from 1 species